rnacentral:rRNA from 1 species
CUGCCAGACUCCUACGGGAGGCAGCAGUGGGGAAUAUUGCACAAUGGGGGAAACCCUGAUGCAGCGACGCCGCGUGAGUGAAGAAGUAUUUCGGUAUGUAAAGCUCUAUCAGCAGGGAAGAAAAUGACGGUACCUGACUAAGAAGCCCCGGCUAACUACGUGCCAGCAGCCGCGGUAAUACGUAGGGGGCAAGCGUUAUCCGGAUUUACUGGGUGUAAAGGGAGCGUAGACGGCAUGGCAAGUCAGAUGUGAAAGCCCGGGGCUCAACCCCGGGACUGCAUUUGAAACUGUCAGGCUGGAGUGCAGGAGAGGUAAGUGGAAUUCCUAGUGUAGCGGUGAAAUGCGUAGAUAUUAGGAGGAACACCGGCGGCGAAGGCGGCCUGCUGGACCGCGACUGACGUUGAGGCUCGAAAGCGUGGGGAGCGAACAGGAUUAGAUACCCCUGUA